CCUACGGGUGGCUGCAGUGGGGAAUAUUGCACAAUGGGCGCAAGCCUGAUGCAGCCAUGCCGCGUGUGUGAAGAAGGCCUUCGGGUUGUAAAGCACUUUCAGCUGGGAGGAAGGCGGUGAGGUUAAUAACCUCAUCGAUUGACGUUACCCGCAGAAGAAGCACCGGCUAACUCCGUGCCAGCAGCCGCGGUAAUACGGAGGGUGCAAGCAUUAAUCGGAAUUACUGGGCGUAAAGCGCACGCAGGCGGUCUGUCAAGUCGGAUGUGAAAUCCCCGGGCUCAACCUGGGAACUGCAUUCGAAACUGGCAGGCUAGAGUCUUGUAGAGGGGGGUAGAAUUCCAGGUGUAGCGGUGAAAUGCGUAGAGAUCUGGAGGAAUACCGGUGGCGAAGGCGGCCCCCUGGACAAAGACUGACGCUCAGGUGCGAAUGCGUGGGGAGCAAACAGGAUUAGAUACCCCUGUAGUC
rnacentral:rRNA from 1 species